rnacentral:rRNA from 1 species
GCAGUCGCCGCGGUAAUACAGAGGGUGCGAGCGUUAAUCGGAUUUACUGGGCGUAAAGCGUGCGUAGGCGGCUAAUUGAGUCGGAUGUGAAAUCCCCGAGCUUAACUUGGGAAUUGCAUUCGAUACUGGUUAGCUAGAGUGUGGGAGAGGAUGGUAGAAUUCAAGGUGUAGCGGUGAAAUGCGUAGAGAUCUGGAGGAAUACCGAUGGCGAAGGCAGCCAUCUGGCCUAACACUGACGCUGAGGUACGAAAGCAUGGGGAGCAAACAGGAUUAGAUACCCCGGUAGUCCCUGUCUCUUAUAC